rnacentral:rRNA from 1 species
UUUUAGCAAUUUGCCAACAGCAGUCAUACCCCCUGCAGUACAGACUAGAUUACCCAUCGGAAACUAAGCAUGUUUGGGCCUGGUCAGCAUUUGGAUGGAAGACCAACUAAGAAAGCUGGGUUGAUGAGGU